UACGUAGGCAGCAAGCGUUGUUCGGAAUUACUGGGCGUAAAGAGUGUGUAGGCGGUGCUCCAAGUCUGAUGUGAAAGCCCACGGCUCAACCGUGGAAGGUCAUUGGAAACUGGAGGACUUGAGUACAGAAGAGGAAAGCGGAGUUCCACGUGUAGCGGUGAAAUGCGUAGAGAUGUGGAGGAACACCAGUGGCGAAGGCGGCUUUCUGGUCUGUAACUGACGCUGAGGCGCGAAAGCGUGGGGAGCAAACAGG
rnacentral:rRNA from 1 species